UCUGCCGCGCCCAAAGCGAGUUUCCAGGAAAGAUGGGGGUGGAGAGAAAGAGGGAGGGCAAGAGAGAAAAUGGGGGGUCAAUGGCUGGGAAUUACCUCGUGUGCCCCGCCAGCCCAAAGAAUAGCAAACGUCUUUCCGCCUCCAACUUGCAGGUGUUUGGAGCCCCCAUCCCCCAAACACGUCCCGAUUAAAAAAAAAUGAACCCUACACCUGACCAAUCAGGAAUAACUACUUAGUCCAACAACAACAGCCUCUCCCGGCAGGCUGCCCAGAACAUUUUCGAACCCUUUAACCGGUCUGUCUGAUUCAGAAUGGUCGAAUGUGUUUUCUAAGUAUGGAUUCGUCUAUGCAGCUUGCUCGACAACCUGAACCCAGGCUUCGGCAGUCUCCACAACGCGAAGGUGUAAUUCCCUUUCUGCCGCGGGUGGAGAGGACAUAAUGGAAAAGAGAAGAAUCUUCGGGCCGUGGUCACCGGAGCUAGGGAGGGGCGACGACGGGGCUGCUUUGUUCAUCCUCCAAAGCAGCUGAGAGGACGAGGUGCUAGGGCGGCACUACGCGUUCCAGCCAACGAAAGCGGAUUCUGAGGGCAGCCACCCGCAUGCCUUGGAUCUUACCCUGCCAGGAUGGUGCAGGGACUGAGAAAAUGUCCCCCGGGAUGAUCCCGAGGACCCCCACCCGUGGCACCAGACCUGAAAAGCACGCCCAUUGUCCUUCCCGGCCUCUCCCCCAACCGCCACGGAAGCACCCUCGAAACUGACCAGAAAUGGGCGAAACCUGGGAGCUGCGGGCGGGAAGACGCUGGCCUUGGCGAGCGCUGUUCAGCUUCCAGAGUACAAGCCCGCCCCCUCCCUCAAACAGCGAACCUCCCCAACACGAAGGCACAGUCGGCCUUCGGACAGAGCUGACGCUCAUUGGGCUCUGUACGCCCACCCGAGUCAGCGCUGGCUCCCGAAUACAUCAUAAUUUGGAAUAAAAUGUGAAAUCCUG